AUGUUCUGGAUUUUUAUCUUUGGGGUUUUGUAUAUUCCCAAUUUUGUAUGUGCCUUUACUGGUGAUAAGUGCUAUGGAACAAUCAAGGAAUAUACUUACUAUGAAGGAGAUGUGACAAUUGGUGCUUUUUUUCCUCUUCAUAGUUACUACACACAUGACCAUGUUCCCCAUGAAAUUGACCCAUACUUUUUCCAGGAUAUGUUCACACAGUAUAAUUUUAUGAACUACCAGUUACUUCUGGCCCUGGUGUUUACCAUUGAGGAGAUCAACAGAAAUCCUCAUCUUCUACCCAACACAACUCUUGGAUUUGAGCAUCAUAACAUUAAAUUUUCUGAAAAGAAUAUUCUUCUUGGGGGCUGGUGAGAUGGCUCAGUGGGUAAGAGCACCCGACUGCUCUUCCGAAGGUCAGGAGUUCAAGUCCCGGCAACCACAUGGUGGCUCACAACCAUCCGUAACAAGAUCUGACUCCCUCUUCUGGAGUGUAUGAAGACAGCUACAGUGUACUUACAUAUAACCAAUAAAUAAAUCUUUAAAAAAAAAAAAAAAAAAGAAUAUUCUUCUUGGUCCCUUUCUUUGGCUCACAGGGUUGAGCAAUCAACUAAUUAAUUAUAACUGUGGACAGAAGAGAAAUUUACCUGCAGCACUCACUGGAACAUCAUGGGCAAUAUCUGCCCAUAUUGGGACACUGCUACAACUCUACAAAAUACCUCAGCUCAGUUUGGAUAUUUUGAUUCUAACAUGAAUGACCAAAGUCAGUUUAAAACUCUCUAUCAGGUGGCCCCUGAGGACACAUAUCUGUCACUGGCCUUAGUGUCUUUGAUGCUUCAUUUCAGCUGGUCCUGGGUGGGUCUGAUUGUCCCAAAUGACCCCAGAGGGACUCAGAUUCUAUCAGAGUUUAGAGAUGUUAUGGAAAGUAAUAGGAUCUGCUUAGCCUUUGUGAAAAUGAUUCCUGGCACCUGGAAUUCAUAUUCUGAUUCAAUAUGGAAAAAUAUGGAGAAGAUUCAGGAAUCAUCAGCAAAUGUGAUUGUUAUUUAUGGGGACAUUGUUUCUUUACAAGGUUUAAUGCGACACAUUGCACAACUGUUAGUGACAUGGAAAGUCUGGGUCUUGAACUCUCAAUGGGAUAUUGACUACUAUUCUGAUUAUUUUAUGAUAGAAUCCUUUCAUGGGAGUCUCAUUUUUUCACACCAUCAUGAAGAGAUGGUUGAGUUUGUGAAUUUUGUUCAAACAGUGAAUCCCUACACAUACCCUGAAGAUGAUUAUCUUCCUAAGUUUUGGGUUUUUUUCUUCAAGUGCUCUUUUUCUGAGUUUGAUUGCCAACUUUUGGAGAACUGCCAACCCAAUGCAUCUUUGGACUUACUGCUCAGACACAUUUUUGACCCAGCCAUGAGUGAAGAGAGCUACAACCUAUACAAUGCUGUGUAUGCUCUUGCUCACAGCCUCCAUGAGAUGACUGUUCAACAAAUACAGACACAACCAUAUGCCAAUGGAGACGGAAUGGCAUUCUUGCCCUGGCAGAUCCUCCCUUUUCUAAAGAUCACCCUACUUAAAAACCAUCCAAGUGGUCAAACUGUAAUUGAUGAGAGGAAAAACUUAUAUUCAGAAUAUGACAUUUUCAAUUUUUGGAAUUUCCCAACGGGUCUUGGAUUAAAGAUGAAAGUAGGAACCUUUUCUCCAAAUUCUCCCCAGGGUCAACAGUUGUCCUUAUCUGAGGAAAUGAUACAAUGGCCGACACAGUUUACAAAAAUUCCUCAGUCUGUGUGCAGUGAGAGCUGUAGGCCUGGAUUCAGGAAAGCUGCCCAGGAGGGGAAGGCUGUCUGCUGCUUUGAUUGCAUUCCUUGUGCAGACAAUGAGAUUUCCAAUGAGACAGAUAUGGAUCAGUGUGUGCAGUGUCCAGAAAGUCACUAUGCAAACUCAGAGAAGAACCACUGCCUCCAGAAAUCUGUGAGCUUUUUGGCCUAUGAAGAGCCCUUGGGGAUGGGACUCACGAUCACAGCACUGGACUUCUCUGUACUCACAGCUGUGGUUCUUGUAGUCUUUGUGAAGCACAGAGACACACCCAUUGUCAAGGCCAAUAAUCGGGUUCUCAGCUACACCCUGCUAUUGACACUCAUAAUCUGUUUUCUCAGUUGCUUGCUCUACAUUAGACAGCCCAACACAGCCACCUGCAUCUUGCAGCAAACAGCAUUUGGAACUUUGUUCACUGUGGCUCUCUCCACAGUGUUAGCCAAAGCUAUUGUAGUGGUUACUGCAUUCAAGAUCACCUCUCCAGCUAGAAUGGUGAGGUGGUUAAUAGUAUCAGGGGCCCCAAAUUCCAUUAUUCCCAUCUGCACACUGAUCCAACUUAUUAUCUAUGGAAUAUGGCUGGCUACCUCUCCACCUUUUAUUGAUCAAAAUGCUCAUGUUGAACAUGGUCACAUCAUCAUUAUGUGCAACAAGGGUUCUGCAGUUGCUUUCCACUGUGUACUGGGAUACCUUUGCUUCUUAGCACUUGGGAGCUACAGUAUGGCUUUCUUAUCCAGGAAUCUGCCUGACACAUUCAACGAAGCCAAGUACCUGUCAUUCAGCAUGCAGGUAUUCUUCUGUGUUUGGAUCACUUUUCUCCCUGUCUAUCACAGCACAAAGGGAAAGGUCAUGGUGGCUAUGGAAGUCUUCUCUGUCUUGGCUUCCAGUAUAGCACUCCUUGCUUUGAUAUUUGCCCCCAAGUGCUACAUAAUUUUGUUAAGGCCAGAUAAGAACUCACGUCUUGACAUCAGGCACAAAAUACAUUCAAGAAGAGUAGUCAUUUAA